AGAACGAACGCUGGCGGCGUGGAUAAGACAUGCAAGUCGAGCGCUGAUUACAGGGUAGCAAUAUUCUGUAGUUGGAGCGGCGCAAGGGUGCGUAACACGUGGGUAAUCUGCCAUGAAGUCUGGGAUAACUCGCUGAAAGGCGAGCUAAUACCGGAUGUGAAAAUUAGGAGGCAUCUUCCGAUUUUCAAAGCUGGGGACCGUAAGGCCUGGCGCUUCAUGAUGAGCCCGCGGCCUAUCAGCUAGUUGGUGAGGUAACGGCUCACCAAGGCUAAGACGGGUAGCUGGUCUGAGAGGACGACCAGCCACACUGGAACUGAGACACGGUCCAGACACCUACGGGUGGCAGCAGUCGAGAAUUUUCACAAUGGGG
rnacentral:rRNA from 1 species